rfam:Nicotiana attenuata strain TT chromosome 8, whole genome shotgun sequence.
GCUCUUGUAGCUCAGUUGGUUAGAGCGUCCACUUAGUUAGCGGAGGUCUUGAGUUUGACUCUUUCCAAGAGCA